rnacentral:rRNA from 1 species
GAUGAACGCUGGCGGCGUGCCUAAUACAUGCAAGUCGAGCGAACGGACGAGAAGCUUGCUUCUCUGAUGUUAGCGGCGGACGGGUGAGUAACACGUGGAUAACCUACCUAUAAGACUGGGAUAACUUCGGGAAACCGGAGCUAAUACCGGAUAAUAUUUUGAACCGCGUGGUUCAAAAGUGAAAGACGGUCUUGCUGUCACUUAUAGAUGGAUCCGCGCUGCAUUAGCUAGUUGGUAAGGUAACGGCUUACCAAGGCAACGAUGCAUAGCCGACCUGAGAGGGUGAUCGGCCACACUGGAACUGAGACACGGUCCAGACUCCUACGGGAGGCAGCAGUAGGGAAUCUUCCGCAAUGGGCGAAAGCCUGACGGAGCAACGCCGCGUGAGUGAUGAAGGUCUUCGGAUCGUAAAACUCUGUUAUUAGGGAAGAACAUAUGUGUAAGUAACUGUGCACAUCUGGACGGUACCUAAGCAGAAAGCCACGGCUAACUACGU